rnacentral:rRNA from 1 species
CCUACGUGUGGCAGCAGUGAGGAAUAUUGGUCAAUGGACGAGAGUCUGAACCAGCCAAGUAGCGUGAAGGAUGACUGCCCUAUGGGUUGUAAACUUCUUUUAUAUGGGAAUAAAAUGUUCCACGUGUGGUAUUUUGUAUGUACCAUAUGAAUAAGGAUCGGCCAACUCCGUGUCAGCAGCCGCGGUAAUACGGAGGAUCCGAGCGUUAUCCUGAUUUAUUGGGUUUAAAGGGAGCGUAGGUGGAUUGUUAAGUCAGUUGUGAAAGUUUGCGGCUCAACCGUAAAAUUGCAGUUGAAACUGGCAGUCUUGAGUACAGUAGAGGUGGGCGGAAUUCGUGGUGUAGCGG